UAGCUGGGUUCAAGAGAGGUUUUAAUGUCUGGGUUCAAGAGAGGUUUUAAUAGCUGCAUGGGUUUACAAGAGGUUUUAAUGUCUGGGUUUACAAGAGGUUUUAAUAGCUGGGUUUACAAGAGGUUUUAAUGGCUGGGUUUACAAGAGGUUUUAAUGGCUGGGUUUACAAGAGGUUUUAAUGGCUGGGUUUACAAGAGGUUUUAAUGGCUGGGUUUACAAGAGGUUUUAAUGGCUGGGUUUACAAGAGGUUUUAAUGGCUGGGUUCAAGAGAGGUUUUAAUGGCUGGGUUUACAAGAGGUUUUAAUGGCUGGGUUCAAGAGAGGUUUUAAUGGCUGGGUUUACAAGAGGUUUUAAUGGCUGGGUUCAAGAGGUUUUAAUGGCUGGGUUCAAGAGAGGUUUUAAUGGCUGGGUUCAAGAGAGGUUUUAAUGGCUGGGUUCAAGAGAGGUUUUAAUGGCUGGGUUCAAGAGAGGUUUUAAUGGCUGGGUUCAAGAGAGGUUUUAAUGGCUGGGUUCAAGAGAGGUUUUAAUGGCUGGGUUCAAGAGAGGUUUUAAUGGCUGGGUUCAAGAGAGGUUUUAAUGGCUGGGUUCAAGAGAGGUUUUAAUGGCUGGGUUUACAAGAGGUUUUAAUGGCUGGGUUCAAGAGAGGUUUUAAUGGCUGGGUUUACAAGAGGUUUUAAUGGCUGGGUUCAAGAGAGGUUUUAAUGGCUGGGUUCAAGAGAGGUUUUAAUGGCUGGGUUCAAGAGAGGUUUUAAUAGCUGGGUUCAAGAGAGGUUUUAAUAGCUGGGUUCAAGAGAGGUUUUAAUAGCUGGGUUUACAAGAGGUUUUAAUAGCUGGGUUUACAAGAGGUUUUAAUAGCUGGGUUUACAAGAGGUUUUAAUGGCUGGGUUUACAAGAGGU